rnacentral:sRNA from 1 species
CUGGGUUGCCACCUCCCCUUCUCCCACCCUCUAUUUGGUCCCUUGGCAGGGCCUGUGUGCCAAGUGCUGGCUCCGCAGUGCCCACUAGCUGCCUCUGUGCCCAGCACGUACCUUGGCGCAUGCGCUGCAGUGCCCUGCAGGCCUCUGGUGGGGCUGCCUGUGCCCCGCCCCUCCAGGCCUGCUGAGGCCCCACCUCUGCCACACAGGCCUACGUGGAGAAGUACAAGUUCACCAGCGUGGUGGCCCAGGACCUGCUGGACUCCUUCCUGAGCUUCUUCCCGGAGCUGAAGGAGCAGAGCGUGGACUGCCGGGCAGGGCUGGAAUUCGAGCGCUGGCUCAAUGCCACAGGCCCGCCGCUGGCUGAGCCGGACCUGUCUCAGGGAUCCAGCCUGACCCGGCCCGUGGAGGCCCUUUUCCAGCUGUGGACUGCAGAACCUCUGGACCAGGCAGCUGCCUCGGCCAGCGCCAUUGACAUCUCCAAGUGGAGGACCUUCCAGACAGCACUCUUCCUGGACCGGCUCCUGGAUGGGUCCCCACUGCCACAGGAGGUGGUGAUGAGCCUGUCCAAGUGCUACUCCUCCCUGCUGGACUCGAUGAACGCUGAGAUCCGCAUCCGCUGGCUGCAGAUCGUGGUCCGCAACGACUACUAUCCUGACCUCCACAGGGUGCGGCGCUUCCUGGAGAGCCAGAUGUCACGCAUGUACACCAUCCCGCUGUACGAGGACCUCUGCAC